rnacentral:rRNA from 1 species
CCCUUAGACGUUCUGGGCCGCACGCGCGCUACACUGACCAGUGCAACAAGCAUCAGUCCUUGGCCGACAGGCUCGGGCAAUCUUUGAACGCUGGUCGUGAUGGGGAUAGACUUUUGCAAUUUUUGGUCUUCAACGAGGAAUUCCUAGUAAACGCAAGUCAUCAACUUGCAUUGAUUACGUCCCUGCCCUUUGUACACACCGCCCGUCGCACCUACCGAUUGAAUGGUCCGGUGAAGCCUCCGGAUUGGCGCGCACCUCGGUGCCGCCGAGAAGUUGGCUAAACCUUACCAUUUAGAGGAAGGUGAAGUCGUAACA